UGUGGAAAAAACGUCAUAGUUUAGUAUGUCGUCCAAAAUGUGACCAAAAACGUCAUAGUUUAGUAUGUCGUCCAAAAUGUGACCAAAAACGUCAUAGUUUAGUAUGUCAUCCAAAAUGUGACCAAAAAGGUCAUAGUUAAGUAUGUCGUCCAAAAUGUCACUAAAACGUCAUAGUUAAGUAUGUCGUCCAAACUGUGACCAAAAACAUCAUAGUUUAGUAUGUCGUCCAAAAUGUGGAAAAAACAUCAUCGUUUAGUAUGGCGUCCAAAAUGUGACCAAAAACAUGAUAGUUUAGUCUGUCAUCCAAAAUGUGACCAAAAACAUCAUAGUUUAGUAUGUCGUCCAAAAUGUGACCAAAAAAGUCAAAUGUCGUCCAAAAUGUGACCAAAAACAUCAUACUUUUGGUAUGUCGUCCAAAAUGUGACCAAAAACGUCAUAGUUUAGUAUGGCGUCCAAAAUGUGGAAAAGACGUCAUAGUAUACUAUGUCGAAAAAAUGUGAUUUUUUCAACAUGUCCAAAAAACAUGCCAUGUUAUAAGGUGCCGGGAUAGCUCAACAGGUUAACUGGUCGAACCAUGCGUAGGGGCUGGUCCCCAACGCAGCGACUCAGGUUCGACUCCCGAUUAGUUCAUGACAAACACACAACAAAGCAAUUUUGUUUCAAGAACAUAGCGUUGAAUGUCGUCAAAAACGU